rnacentral:rRNA from 1 species
GAUCAUGGCUCAGGACGAACGCUGGCGGCGUGCCUAACACAUGCAAGUCGAGCGGGGAACGGAUGGUAGCUUGCUACUGUUUGUUUCUAGCGGCGGACGGGUGAGUAACGCGUGAGCAACCUGCCUUUAUCAGGGGGGAUAACGCAUCGAAAGAUGUGCUAAUACCGCGUAAGACCACAGCUUCACAUGGGGCGGGGGUCAAAGGAGCAAUCCGGAUAAAGAUGGGCUCGCGUCCGAUUAG